rnacentral:rRNA from 1 species
ACGAACGCUGGCGGCGGGCUUAACACAUGCAAGUCGAACGGAAAGGCCCUGCUUUUGUGGGGUGCUCGAGUGGCGAACGGGUGAGUAACACGUGAGUAACCUGCCCUUGACUUUGGGAUAACUUCAAGAAACUGGGGCUCAUACCGGAUAGGAGCUCCUGCUGCAUGGUGGGGGUUGGAAAGUUUCGGCGGUUGGGGAUGGACUCGCGGCUUAUCAGCCUGUUGGUGGGGGAUUGGGUUACCAAGGCUUUGACGGGUAGCCGGCCUGAGAGCGUGACCGGCCACAUUGGGACUAAGAUACCGCACGGCCUGCUACGGGCGGCAGCAGUGGGGAAUAUUGCACAAUGGGCCGAAGCCUGAUGCAGCAACGCCGCGUGCGUGAUGACGGUCUUCGGGUUGUAAGCCGCUUUCGCCUGUAACGUAGCCUGCGUGCCGGUAAUGGGUAACGAAGCACCGGCUAACUACGUG